rnacentral:tRNA from 1 species
UCCGAUAUGGUGUAGUGGCCAACAUGAUGCCCUCUCAUUCAUGAGAGGUUAGGCAUAGCCCCGAGUUCGAUUCUCGGUUUCGGAA